rnacentral:rRNA from 1 species
CGAGUUAUCUGAACCUUCGGGGAACGAUAACGGCGUCGAGCGGCGGACGGGUGAGUAAUGCCUAGGAAAUUGCCCUGAUGUGGGGGAUAACCAUUGGAAACGAUGGCUAAUACCGCAUGAUGCCUACGGGCCAAAGAGGGGGACCUUCGGGCCUCUCGCGUCAGGAUAUGCCUAGGUGGGAUUAGCUAGUUGGUGAGGUAAGGGCUCACCAAGGCAACGAUCCCUAGCUGGUCUGAGAGGAUGAUCAGCCACACUGGAACUGAGACACGGUCCAGACUCCUACGGGAGGCAGCAGUGGGGAAUAUUGCACAAUGGGCGCAAGCCUGAUGCAGCCAUGCCGCGUGUAUGAAGAAGGCCUUCGGGUUGUAAAGUACUUUCAGUCGUGAGGAAGGCGUUGUCGUUAAUAGCGGCAUCGUUUGACGUUAGCGACAGAAGAAGCACCGGCUAACUCCGUGCCAGCAGCCGCGGUAAUACGGAGGGUGCGAGCGUUAAUCGGAAUUACUGGGCGUAAAGCGCAUGCAGGUGGUUUGUUAAGUCAGAUGUGAAAGCCCGGGGCUCAACCUCGGAAUAGCAUUUGAAACUGGCAGACUAGAGUACUGUAGAGGGGGGUAGAAUUUCAGGUGUAGCGGUGAAAUGCGUAGAGAUCUGAAGGAAUACCGGUGGCGAAGGCGGCCCCCUGGACAGAUACUGACACUCAGAUGC